CAGUAGCCGCGGGAAUACAGAGGAUGCAAGCGUUAAUCGGAAUUACUGGGCGUAAAGCGGGCGCAGACGGUUACUUAAGCAGGAUGUGAAAUCCCCGGGCUCAACCUGGGAACUGCGUUCUGAACUGGGUAACUAGAGUGUGUCAGAGGGAGGUAGAAUUCCACGUGUAGCAGUGAAAUGCGUAGAGAUGUGGAGGAAUACCGAUGGCGAAGGCAGCCUCCUGGGAUAACACUGACGUUCAUGCCCGAAAGCGUGGGUAGCAAACAGGAUUAGAUACCCCGGUAGUCCCUGUCUCUUAUAC
rnacentral:rRNA from 1 species